rnacentral:rRNA from 1 species
UCCUCCAAGGCUAAAUACUCCUGACUGACCGAUAGUGAACCAGUACCGUGAGGGAAAGGCGAAAAGAACCCCGGCGAGGGGAGUGAAAAAGAACCUGAAACCGUGUACGUACAAGCAGUGGGAGCACAGGUUUACCUGUGUGACUGCGUACCUUUUGUAUAAUGGGUCAGCGACUUAUAUUCUGUAGCAAGGUUAACCGUAUAGGGGAGCCGGAGGGAAACCGAGUCUUAACCGGGCGUUAAGUUGCAGGGUAUAGACCCGAAACCCGGUGAUCUAGCCAUGGGCAGGUUGAAGGUUGGGUAACACUAACUGGAGGACCGAACCGAC